UUCUCGUUAGUAUAGUGGUGAGUAUCCCCACCUGUCAUGCAGGAGACCAGGGUUCGAUUCCCCGAUGGGGAG
rfam:Rattus norvegicus chromosome 13, whole genome shotgun sequence.